AUUGAACGCUGGCGGCAGGCCUAACACAUGCAAGUCGAGCGAGAAAGGUCUUCGGACUGAGUACAGCGGCGGACGGGUGAGUAAAGCGUAGGAAUCUACCUGGUAGUGGGGGAUAACUUGGGGAAACUCAAACUAAUACCGCAUACGCCCUACGGGGGAAAGCGGGGGACCGUUCGGGCCUCGCGCUAUCAGAUGAGCCUGCGUAGGAUUAGCUAGUUGGUGAGGUAAAGGCUCACCAAGGCGACGAUCCUUAGCUGGUCUGAGAGGAUGAUCAGCCACACUGGGACUGAGACACGGCCCAGACUCCUACGGGAGGCAGCAGUGGGGAAUGUUGCGCAAUGGGCGAAAGCCUGACGCAGCCAUGCCGCGUGUGUGAAGAAGGCCUUAGGGUUGUAAAGCACUUUCAAUUGGGAAGAAAAGUUGGUCGUUAAUAGCGGCCAGCCCUGACAUUACCUUUAGAAGAAGGACCGGCUAACUCCGUGCCAGCAGCCGCGGUAAAGUCGUACGAUC
rnacentral:rRNA from 1 species